AACGAACGCUGGCGGCAGGCCUAACACAUGCAAGUCGAGCGAGACCUUCGGGUUUAGCGGCGGACGGGGUGAGUAACGCGUGGGAAUAUGCCCUUCGGUUCGGAAUAGCCCCGGGAACUGGGAGUAAUACCGGAUACGGUCUACGGACGAAAGAUUUAUCGCCGAAGGAUUAGCCCGCGUUGGAUUAGGUAGUUGGGUGGGGUAGUGGCCUACCAAGCCUACGAUCCAUAGCUGGUUUGAGAGGAUGAUCAGCAACACUGGGACUGAGACACGGCCCAGACUCCUACGGGAGGCAGCAGUGGGGAAUAUUGGACAAUGGGCGCAAGCCUGAUCCAGCCAUGCCGCGUGUGUGAAGAAGGCCUCGGUUGU
rnacentral:rRNA from 1 species